rnacentral:rRNA from 1 species
CAGGUCUUGACAUCCCGCUGACCGCUAUGGAGACAUAGUUUUCCCUUCGGGGACAGCGGUGACAGGUGGUGCAUGGUUGUCGUCAGCUCGUGUCGUGAGAUGUUGGGUUAAGUCCCGCAACGAGCGCAACCCUUGUUCUUAGUUGCCAUCAUUUAGUUGGGCACUCUAAGGAGACUGCCGGUGACAAACCGGAGGAAGGUGGGGAUGACGUCAAAUCAUCAUGCCCCUUAUGACCUGGGCUACACACGUGCUACAAUGGACGGUACAAACGGUUGCGAAGUCGCGAGAUGGAGCCAAUCCGAUAAAACCGUUCUCAGUUCGGAUUGUAGGCUGCAACUCGCCUACAUGAAGCCGGAAUCGCUAGUAAUCGUGGAUCAGCAUGCCACGGUGAAUACGUUCCC